rnacentral:lncRNA from 1 species
AUGGCCAAGUCCAAGAACCACACUGCGGACAACCAGUCCCAAAAACAGCACAGAAAUGGCCUCAAAAAAUUCUGAUCACAGGCCGGGUAUGGUGACUCAUACCUGUAAUCCCAGCACUUUGGGAGGCCAAGGUGGAAAGAUCACUAAAGGUCAGGACUUUGAGACCAGCCUGGCCAACAUGGUGAGAGCCUGUCUCUACUAAAAAUACAAAAAAAUUAGCCGGGCAUGAUGGCAUGCACCUGUAGUCCCAGCUACUCAGGAGGCUGAGGCAGGAGAAUCGCUUGAACCUGGGUGGCAGAGGUUACAGUGAGCUGACAUUGCACCAUUGCACUCCAGCCUGAGUGACCGAGGGAGGCUCUGUCUCAAACAAACAAACAAAAAACAAAUUCUGAUCGCAAAGAUAUGAAUCUCUUUAGGGGGUGGACCCUAAGUUCCUGAGGAACAUGCGCUUUGCCAAGAAGCACAACAAAAAGAGCCUGAAGAAGAUGCAGGCCAACAAUGCCAAGGCCAUGGGUGCACGUGCCGAGGCUAUCAAGGCCCUGGCAAAGCCCGAGGAGGCUAAGCCCAAGAUCCCAAAGGGCAUCAGCCACAAGCUUGAUCGACCUGCCUGCAUCACCCACUCCAAGCUUGGGAAGCUCCAUCAACCUGCCUGCAUCACCCCACUGGAGUGCAGUGGUGAGAUCUCAGCUCACUGCAACCUCUGCCUCCCAGGUUCAAGUGAUUCUCCUGCCUUGUGCUGGCACUGCCAAGCGUCUCAGGCUCUGUCGGCCAAAGGCCAAGGCCAAGGAUCAAACCAAGGCUUGGGGUCCAGCUUCACUUCCAGCUCAGGCCAGGAUGGAAGGACUGGUGU